UAAUACGAAGGGGGCAAGCGUUGUUCGGAAUCAUUGGGCGUAAAGCGCGUGUAGGCGGUCUAAUAAGUCGAGUGUGAAAUCCCUAGGCUCAACCAAGGAAGUGCAUUCGAAACUAUUAGACUAGAAGAUGGUAGAGGAUGGUGGAAUUCCAGGUGUAGAGGUGAAAUUCGUAGAUAUCUGGAGGAAUACCGGUGGCGAAGGCGGCCAUCUGGGCCAUUCUUGACGCUGAGACGCGAAAGCGUGGGUAGCAAACAGG
rnacentral:rRNA from 1 species